GCCCUUGCACCUCAUGGGAAAUACCAUGUCAAAAAGUGGUUUUCCCAGGGGAGGCUCAUCCAUUGCAUUUUGGGUGUGCUGUUGAUUCCUGUGAUUUUCCCAAAUGUGGAGAACUCAACUGCAUGAUUUGUGCUAAUGUAGUAGAUUACAUUUGUAAUUUCCCU
rnacentral:snRNA from 1 species